CUAAUGUUAACUGUUGUAAACUUCAACAAAAUAAAAUACACAUUAAAUAUCAUGCACUUCAGUGUUUUUUGUUAUCCCAAUUUCUAAAGGAUGCAUCAUUGGUUCUUUAUCAUCACUUUGUGCCUUCGCUUCUUCUUUCCUCGAACCAUAAUCCCACAAAAGUGAAGCAUAUCUUGUGUGAAUAAGAUCUAUACAUGGUAUAACAUUUACAUGUCAAAACAAUGGUACUUAUGUAACAAAUAUAUUUCAUAUGAUUCCAAGCAAACAAAUUACAUAUGUAUUUUAUUUAUACAUAAUUUGUCAAAAAAUCAUACUUAUCAAUAAAAAAAAAAGAACAUAUCAUAAUCAAAUACAUAUCUUAUCAGUAAAUAAAAUAAAUGCAUAUCAAACCUGUACCAUGCAUAAUAUUUACAUGUCAAAACAGUGGUACUUAUGUAUUUACAAUAUACAUAUUAUAUUUCCAUUGAAACAUAUACAUAUGUAUUUCAUGAAUACAUGAAUGGACCAAAUUUAACUUACAAAUAAAAUAUACAACUGAACAUCAAUACAAAUCUUACCAGUAACAAAUAUAAAUAUCUUACACAUACCGUAAAUACAAAAUACAUAUCGAAAAUAUAUUAUACAUAACAAAAUAUAAUUAUUAUCAGUAACAAAACUAUAUACAAACUAAAAAUAUUAGAUAUAACAGAUACAUAUCAACACAUUAGCAACAAAACUAAAAAAUAAACACUUUAUAAAAUGUAUAUAUAAAAUACAUAUAUAAACAUGUUGUCCAGAAACUAUAAAAUUUUACACAUAUCAAAAUACCUCCUCCACUUUCUCUUCUUCAGAUUCAAAGUUAGAUGAAACAGGACUUGAAAUUUUGCUAGAUUCCGCUUUUUCAUUCGACUUUUUUUUUCAUCGAUUUUUAAAUUUUUGUGGGUUUGGGGGAUGAAGAUUUUGUCAAUGCUUUUCGUUUCAUGAUUUCCAGAGUCUUUACGGGAUCGUUACGCCGCUUUGAUCUCAACUCUUCAAUGCUAAUACCUCCCUUCAACUGAACUACUACGAUUUGCAUGUUCUGCCAUUAUAGUAAAUCUCCAAAAAUUUCAACACACAAAAAUUAAAUAAAAAUAAAAAAAUUUCAAAAAAUUACAAUACAGAAGAAUGUGGAAAAAGAAUGCCCCAGUAAUUUCAACAGAAAAAAGAAAUAAAAAUUAAAACUCCUAAAAACAAGAACGCUAAAGAAUGUGAAAAAAAUGCCUAAAAUAAAUUACAUAUUAGAACUUAUAUGAAAAAGAUAACAUUCAUUAACUGUAAAAUCAACUUAUAGAUGGGCACAAUGUUUAUCAAGAAUUUGAGAGAAAAAAAAUCAGAAUUCAGAGAAAUAAGUUAGUAGCUAAUCAAAAUUUGAAGAAACAGGAAAGAAAAAAUCUCAAAUUUCUGAAAUUUUCCCAAUUCAAAACGAAAAAAAUCCCAAAUUUCUGAAAUUUUCUCAAUUCAAAACCUAGAAGAAUGUGAAAAAAUAAUGCUAAAAAAAUUACAAAAAAGAAGUUAUAUGAAAAAUAUAAAACGCAUUAACUGUAAAAUCAACUUACCUUAAUAGAUGGAAAGAAC
rnacentral:lncRNA from 1 species